rnacentral:tRNA from 1 species
GGCGAAGUUGUUGGUCGCCGGCUGCGGGACCGUUCCUUGACACGGAAGAGGUCACUGGUUCGAUCCCAGUAUCGCCC